GCGUCCACAGAGGGGGGCAAGAGGGGUCAGUGCCCCCCCCUGGGACCAGCAGACUGACCAUCUGUUUAUUCGGGCAUUUUGUAAUGUGGGCCGCUCCUGAUCUAUAAUGUUCAUUUCAAACUGUGGGCUCUAGGACCGCUCCUCCGUCCCAGCUCCCACUGUGGCUCCGCCCCUUCCACUCGUCUCCGUUCUCAUGCUGUGCUGUGUGCAGGCCUGCCUGCCUGCCAUCAGGGGGGAACAAGGAAGAAAGUUUUGGGCCAGGCAAGAUUUAGGCUCAAAGGGGGAUUAGCCAGCCCCCCUUACGAGCGUGGACAUCACUGAUGCCGAAGACGGAAGUACAGGAACUGAUGUGGUUGGGUAUUUCUGAUC